GCCUCUAUGGCACAGGGGUAAUGCGUGUCACUCGUAUGUUCAAGCUUGCGAGUUCAUGACAAGAUCCGCGGUUCGAUUCCGCGUGGAGGCA
rnacentral:tRNA from 1 species